UUUGGUUAAGUUAGAAAGGGCGCACGGUGGAUGCCUUGACACUAGGAGUCGAUGAAGGACGGGACUAACGCCGAUAUGCUUCGGGGAGCUGUAAGUAAGCUUUGAUCCGAAGAUUUCCGAAUGGGGAAACCCACCAUACGUAAUGGUAUGGUAUCCUUAUCUGAAUACAUAGGGUAAGGAAGACAGACCCAGGGAACUGAAACAUCUAAGUACCUGGAGGAAGAGAAAGCAAAUGCGAUUUCCUGAGUAGCGGCGAGCGAAACGGAACAUAGCCCAAACCAAGAGGCUUGCCUCUUGGGGUUGUAGGACAUUCUAU
rnacentral:rRNA from 1 species